CGAACGGCAGCACGGGUGCUUGCACCUGGUGGCGAGUGGCGAACGGGUGAGUAAUACAUCGGAACAUGUCCUGUAGUGGGGGAUAGCCCGGCGAAAGCCGGAUUAAUACCGCAUACGAUCUAUGGAUGAAAGCGGGGGACCUUCGGGCCUCGCGCUAUAGGGUUGGCCGAUGGCUGAUUAGCUAGUUGGUGGGGUAAAGGCCUACCAAGGCGACGAUCAGUAGCUGGUCUGAGAGGACGACCAGCCACACUGGGACUGAGACACGGCCCAGACUCCUACGGGAGGCAGCAGUGGGGAAUUUUGGACAAUGGGCGAAAGCCUGAUCCAGCAAUGCCGCGUGUGUGAAGAAGGCCUUCGGGUUGUAAAGCACUUUUGUCCGGAAAGAAAUCCUUGGUUCUAAUAUAACCGGGGGAUGACGGUACCGGAAGAAUAAGCACCGGCUAACUACGUGCCAGCAGCCGCGGUGAUACGUAGGGUGCGAGCGUUAAUCGGAAUUACUGGGCGUAAAGCGUGCGCAGGCGGUUUGUUAAGACCGAUGUGAAAUCCCCGGGCUCAACCUGGGAACUGCAUUGGUGACUGGCAAGCUAGAGUAUGGCAGAGGGGGGUAGAAUUCCACGUGUAGCAGUGAAAUGCGUAGAGAUGUGGAGGAAUACCGAUGGCGAAGGCAGCCCCCUGGGCCAAUACUGACGCUCAUGCACGAAAGCGUGGGGAGCAAACAGGGAUUAGAUACCCUGGUAGUCCACGCCCUAAACGAUGUCAACUAGUUGUUGGGGAUUCAUUUCCUUAGUAACGUAGCUAACGCGUGAAGUUGACCGCCUGGGGGAGUAC
rnacentral:rRNA from 1 species